AUGAAAAUUCCUAAAUACAUGGGUGGACUAGGCUUUCAAGACAUUCAGCUCUUCAAUUUAGCAUUGUUAGCAAGGAAAGCAUGGCGUCUUCUCCAAUUCCCGGAGACAUUAAGUGCAAAAAUCCUUCGAGGAGUGUACUUACCUCACGGAGAUAUCCUUAGUGCAACUCUUGGGAGUCGGCCAUCAUAG
rnacentral:rRNA from 1 species